ensembl:rRNA 5S_rRNA 5S ribosomal RNA
UACGGCCAUACCACCCUGAACGCGCCCGAUCUCGUCUGAUCUCGGAAGCUAAGCAGGGUCGGGCCUGGUUAGUACUUGGAUGGAAGAAGCCCCUUUAGCAUUUCUUGUAAGGUCGGAU